rnacentral:misc_RNA from 1 species
AACGCACGAGACCUGCGGACCUGCGGAGGGAUCAUUAAUGAAACUUCAGUCGGCUUGUUACCUGUGCUGGUGGGCCCCCACAUGUGCACGUUAACAGGUCGCAUAUCCUCACACCUGUGCAUCCUAUGACUCCAAGUCACCCUUUGCAUGCACUUUUGUAGGCUGGCUGGCUGGUGACUUGAGAGUACUUUUACAUACUCUUGAAUGUAAUGGAAAGUCUGUUGUGCAUAAUGUGCAAUC